UCAGUCGGUUAAGCGUCCGACCUCGGCUCAGGUCAUGAUCUCACAGUUCGUGAGUUGGAGCCCCGCGUCGGGCUCUGUGCUGACAGAUCCUGUGUCUCCGUUUCUCUCUGCCCCUCCCCUGCUCAUGCUCUGUCUUGUAAAAAAUAUAAAAAAUAAGCUGAAAAAAAAUUAUUUAAUUAAAUGGUUAAGAUAGUAAAUUAAAGAAAGAAAGAAAGAAAGAAAGAAAGAAAGAAAGACAAUGUCUACGCCAUCAGCUAAUAUGAGAAUCUAAUGUGGCAAUUGUGCACGAUGUGUCCAGCAGGUAAUAGAAACCGAGUGCCUCAUAGUGGCUAUUGUCACGGUGCUGAUGGGGGUUGUGAAUGUUCUGUCAGAGCUUUGGAGGGCUGCGGGGGGGGGGGGGGCCACGGGGGGGGGAGGGCUAAUCCCCUCCUGGGAAGGGCCAGGGAGGACUGCCUUCCAGGCUAAGCACUGGAGAAGGAGGCCUGGGAAGAGGUAGACAAUCCAGGCUGGGAGCCUAGUGAGCUUGGAGGCCUGAGGCCCGGCCUUUCCCCGUGAAACAUGGCCGGAGGGGAGAUGGGCCUCCCAGAGCCCCGCAUCCCGAAUCCCUUGGGCCAGCUGCCAAGCAGUGGGCUGACAUUUGAGGCCAAGGAUGUGGAAGACACAAUGACCUGACUCAGCCUAUCUCUAGAGUGAAGAGAAUGAUUUAAUGCUGAUGCUCGCUCCAGGCUGACACGUUGCUUUCAGCUGGAAACAAGGGAGCAAGUCUGCAGCAGACGAAGUCAGCUCGUCUCAGAAGAAAGGAGUUCCCGUGGGGCUCUGCGCACUUUCCUCAAGGCCUCAGUCUACCCGACAGGCGACACACACACUCGACAUUUCCCCAGGAGCUGUGCUGCUACGUUUUUGCUCCUGGCCGACGGAGGAGCCCUGCGCCCGGAAGAGCAGCCCCCCAGCCUUUAGACAUCACCGAAGCAGAACCUUCUCCCACAUCCUUCCAGAUCCCGGCCGGGUUCGGGAAGCAUUCACGGUCCCUCCCGGACGCCACAAGGCCAGAGUUUCCGUCUGUUUUGUUUGCCACAAAGACCCUGUAUCCAGACAGCACCUGACACACAGCGACACUCAAUAAUUUUUAAUGAGAUAAACUAUUCAGGGGAUGUUAGCUCCGGAGAAGUGUCCAUGACUGUUCCUGCCUCCGCCCGGCUGACCGGCUGACCUGGCCCGUUCCCCAGGCGAGGACGACGUCGUCCGGGGAGCUGGGGCAUCGCUGGUCCUGACCCAACACCCAGGGC
rnacentral:lncRNA from 1 species